AUUGAACGCUGGCGGCAGGCCUAACACAUGCAAGUCGAGCGGAUGAAGGGAGCUUGCUCCUGGAUUCAGCGGCGGACGGGUGAGUAAUGCCUAGGAAUCUGCCUGGUAGUGGGGGAUAACGUCCGGAAACGGGCGCUACUACCGCAUCCGUCCUGAGGGAGAAAGUGGGGGAUCUUCGGACCUCACGCUAUCAGAUGAGCCCAGGUCGGAUUAGCUAGUUGGUGGGGUAAAGGCCUACCAAGGCGACGAUCCGUAACUGGUCUGAGAGGAUGAUCAGUCACACUGAAACUGAGACGCGAACCGGACUGCUACGGGAGGCAGCAGUGGGGAAGAUUAGACGAUGGGCGAAAGCCUGAUCCAACCGUCCCACGUGUGUGCAGAAAAUCUUCGGAUUGUAAAACACUUUAAGUAGGAGGGAAGGGAAGUAAGUUUAUACCAUGCUGUUAUGGCGGUACCAACAGAAUAAGCGCGAGCGAACUUCGUG
rnacentral:rRNA from 1 species